AUUGAACGCUGGCGGCAGGCCUAACACAUGCAAGUCGAGCGAGCGGCGGACGGGUGCGUAAUGUAUGGGGACUGCCCGAUCGAGGGGGAUAACUAAUGGAAACGGUAGCUAAUACCGCAUACUAUCGGAUAACCCAUAUGGGAUUAGCUAGUAGGUGAGGUAAUGGCUCACCUAGGCGACCAUACCGAGCUGGUCUGAGAGGAGGAUCAGCCACACUGGGACUGAGACCCGGCCCAGUCUCCUACGGAGGGAGAAGUGGGGAAGAGUGUAUAAUGGGAGCAAGGCGUAUGCAGCCCUGCCACGUGUAUGAAGAAGGCCCUAGUGUUGGAAAGUACUUUCAGUCGGGAGGCGUUACCGACUGAAGAAGCACCGGCUAACUCCGUGCCAGCCGCCGCGGUAAUUC
rnacentral:rRNA from 1 species